rnacentral:sRNA from 2 species
CCCCGCCUAUCAUACAUGCAUAUGCCAACAGGCAAAAUUCCCUAUAUAUACAAGAAAUAUGAAAAGGAAAAAUGACAUUUGCCCAUCAUACUCUGAAUGAGAUUGCAAUGGGUCCAGGUUAACUUUGACUGGGGUUUGAAGUAAUAAUCGCGGCAACAUAGUGAUAUGUGAAGGUGGAUAAGGCUAUGUCAAGUAAAGAAGUACAUGCACAAGGCUUUAUAUUUUAGAACACGCUCAAAAGGGAAGACAUGGAGAGCCUGACGAAGGCCGCGGAGAUCGAAGAUUUAAAAUCUGCCCGUAAAGGGUAUAUAUAGGGAGCACUGGAAAUACUACGGUCCGGCUGUAUUAACGACGGUUUCGUGGAGGAAAGGCAAGGUCCAUGUUCACCCUUCAUUCGGACGUGGCAAAUUGAGGAGUCCUCGGGGGUCUCGAUUUCACAAUCGUUGUUGCCAGAUUUGGUCACCUAAACGAGGAUUUUGCUUGAUGCAGUUAUCUUUG